rnacentral:rRNA from 1 species
AUACGGAGGAUCCGAGCGUUAUCCGGAAUUAUUGGGCGUAAAGGGUUCGCAGGCGGCCAAAUAAGUCAGAUGUGAAAUCCCACGGCUUAACCGUGGUAAGCAUUUGAAACUGUAUGGCUUGAGUUAAGGAGAGGAAAGUGGAAUUCCUAGUGUAGCGGUGAAAUGCGUAGAUAUUAGGAAGAAUACCAGUGGCGAAGGCGACUUUCUGGACUUAUACUGACGCUGAGGAACGAAAGCGUGGGGAGCAAACAGGAUUAGAUACCCUGGUAGUCCACACUGUAAACGAUGAAUGCUAGGUGUAGGGGGUAUCGACCCCUUCUGUGCCGCAGUUAACACAAUAAGCAUUCCGCCUGGGGAGUACGGCCGCAAGGUUGAAACUCAAAUGAAUUGACGGGG